CCAGCAGGUGGAUCUGUGGUGUCAGAUUCUGAUCUCAGUGUAUGAUACAGCAGUACAUAAAAAAAUAAAUAAUAAAUCCAUAACCUGCUGGAUUUGAACAGAUUUAAAGAACAACUGUAUGUCUGGGCUCAGAUGCUAGUUAUAUGACACAGAAGGAAGUCCCUGGGUUACUCCAGAUCACUGCUCAGCGAUUGGUCAGAGGAGGAUGUGAGCGAGUGGCUCUGUGAUGAAGGAUUUGAAGCUCUGAUGGACACGUUAUCAUCUUAAACACAGAGACACUGAGCACUGAAUCAAACACUGCUCCUGAUGGAUUUCUAUGUCACAGAAAGCUAUCUAAAUCAGCUGACUGUACAGAAGAGGCAAAAGUGAAGGAGAGCACAUUACGUUGGUUUUCCGGCGGCAGCGGGAGAGAUUGAGG